GUAAUAGGCCCAAUUUUCCUGGCCCGCUAUUGAAAUAAAUAAUAAAAAAAACAAAUAAAAUAAUAGUCCAAAUAACAAAAAAAAUUCACCAAACCCAAUUUGCCUAGACCCUAGACCAAACCUAAACCUGAUUCUUAGCCCAGCAAACCAACUCAGCCCAAAUGGCCCAACACCAGAAUGCACAACAGCAAAUCCUAGCAGCAUUCAGCCUCCAACGCCGCAGCCACGCCUCCGAGUCACUCCACGCCAGCCUAUGCCUCAGUACGCAUUGAGCCACGUCACGCAUACCCGUCCCUGCAGCAAAUAACAAGACAACAUCAAAAGAAGAAGAAAAAAAAGCAAAAAAACGAUAACAACAAAAGAAAAAAAGGAAAAAAGAGGGUUUAUUUUUUAUUUUUCGGGCUAUAAGAGCCUUAUUUUCUCAUGUACUCAAGGGGGGAGACUGUAUUAAAAAAAAAAAAGAAAUCAAUACAAAAAAGGUUUUCUUUUUUCCUCUUUUCGGUUCUAUUCCUUUUCCGAUUGCUUUUUCUCUUUUUUUUUGUUUGUUAGUAAUAACAUAUUUAAGCAUAUAUAUAAAAUAAAAAGGGAGGAGAGUUCAAAAACUUAUAUAAAAUAAAAAGGGAGGAGAGUUCAAAAACUUUACCUGGAUCGGUGAGUCGCCGAAUCCCUCCUCCGUUCAAGCCAAGAUUGAAUAGGUGAGGGGGGGUUUCGACACUGAAGCGGCGCCAGGAGUUUAGUUUUCUUUUAGGUUUUUUU
rnacentral:lncRNA from 1 species